AAAAAAUUCAACCGAGUGAACUAGUUUAUUAAUACACAACAGUAAGUAUUGGUAUGCACAUGAGAUGAGGAAAUACAUAGAACUUAUUAACGAUGGGAAAAAGAAAGUGGAAUAGCCCAUUGUUUCAACUCUCAUCUUCAUGUUUUUGUUAUUAAGCCCUCCAAGUGAAAUCUUUUGCAAUUAAAUUCCUGAACUUUUUGAUUUGGUGCUAUUAGAACCAAUUUUGCUUACUUGAAAAAUUGGUCAAAAUUGACAUCGUCAGUUACACCAUAUAAGAAAUGACAUGGCAGAUGACAGUUUAUUUUUUAAUAUUUAUUUUCAUUUUUCAUUUUUAUUUCUCCAAAAUAGCAAAAUAUAAAUUACUUGAAAUAAAAAAAAAAGUUAAAAUUUUUGAUAUAAAAUAUGUUGAUUUAAACAUCAAGUACAUAUUCAACUUUUCUCUCUAGAAAAAUAAUAAUAAAAACAUUAAAGAUAAAGGUGAAGUAAAGAAAACAAAAGCAGUACUCCAACCCUAGUCUCACAUAAGGAAUAAAAGGGAAAAUAAAGGAAUUAAUAGUGAUGUUCAAGAAAUAAACCUUCCUCCCUUUAAAGAAAUUGGACUAUUCUUUCCUACUUAGAUUAUGAAAUUUUUGAUAUAUUAUCAUUUAGAAAAUUGAAAAGAAAUAGAUUAAAAAAAAAUCCAUCUACCA
rnacentral:misc_RNA from 1 species